rnacentral:rRNA from 1 species
AGAGUUUGAUCCUGGCUCAGGAUGAACGCUAGCUACAGGCUUAACACAUGCAAGUCGAGGGGCAGCAUGGGAUUAGCUUGCUAAUCCUGAUGGCGACCGGCGCACGGGUGAGUAACGCGUAUCCAACCUGCCCAUGACUACGGGAUAGCCCGUCGAAAGACGGAUUAAUACCAUAUACGGUGCUUAGAGGACAUCUGACGAGCAUUAAAGAUUCAUCGGUCAUGGAUGGGGAUGCGUCCGAUUAGCUUGUUGGCGGGGCAACGGCCCACCAAGGCGACGAUCGGUAGGGGUUCUGAGAGGAAGGUCCCCCACAUUGGAACUGAGACACGGUCCAAACUCCUACGGGAGGCAGCAGUGAGGAAUAUUGGUCAAUGGGCGCGAGCCUGAACCAGCCAAGUAGCGUGCAGGACGACGGCCCUAUGGGUUGUAAACUGCUUUUGUGCGGGGAUAAAGUUCGGGACGUGUCCCGGAUUGCAGGUACCGCACGAAUAAGGACCGGCUAAUUCCGUGCCAGCAGCCGCGGUAAUACGGAAGGUCCGGGCGUUAUCCGGAUUUAUUGGGUUUAAAGGGAGCGUAGGCCGGAGGUCAAGCGUGCCGUGAAAUGCGUCGGCUCAACCGGCGCACUGCGGCGCGAACUGGCUUCCUUGAGUGGACGGAACGUGCGCGGAAUUCGUGGUGUAGCGGUGAAAUGCUUAGAUAUCACGAAGAACUCUGAUUGCGAAGGCAGCGCGCGGCAGUCCUACUGACGCUGAAGCUCGAAAGCGCGGGUAUCGAACAGGAUUAGAUACCCUGGUAGUCCGCGCGGUAAACGAUGGAUGCUCGCUGUGGGCGACAAACAGUCCGCGGCCAAGCGAAAGCGUUAAGCAUCCCACCUGGGGAGUACGCCGGCAACGGUGAAACUCAAAGGAAUUGACGGGGGCCCGCACAAGCGGAGGAACAUGUGGUUUAAUUCGAUGAUACGCGAGGAACCUUACCCGGGCUUGAAUUGCAGGAGAACGAAACAGAGAUGUUGAGGCCCUUCGGGGCUCCUGUGAAGGUGCUGCAUGGUUGUCGUCAGCUCGUGCCGUGAGGUGCCGGCUUAAGUGCCAUAACGAGCGCAACCCCUUUCCGUAGUUGCCAUCGGGUAAAGCCGGGCACUCUGCGGACACUGCCUCCGUAAGGAGCGAGGAAGGUGGGGAUGACGUCAAAUCAGCACGGCCCUUACGUCCGGGGCUACACACGUGUUACAAUGGGGAGUACAGCGCGCAGGCCGUCGGCAACGCCGGUCGAAUCGUCAAAGCUCCCCCCAGUUCGGAUUGGGGUCUGCAACCCGACCCCAUGAAGCUGGAUUCGCUAGUAAUCGCGCAUCAGCCAUGGCGCGGUGAAUACGUUCCCGGGCCUUGCACACACCGCCCGUCAAG